GCUGCUGCACGCGUGCAGAUCAACGCGAUCCGCACCCGGACGGUCGACCACGUGCAGAAAAUCCGCCGUCGGCACCUAUCGAUGCCGUACGGCAUUGGCAGCGGAUCCACGCGUUACACGGUCGGUCCGUCGGCUCGUUGUGUUUUAUGCGGAAGCGUGUAAAUUGUUUUCGUCGUCAAACUAUUCGCGGAGUACCCUGUGCCCCGAAACGCAGCCUCGUAACACGCGUUUCGUCUACGACUCUCCGGUGACGAAAUGUUUUUUUUUUCCACCGUUGUCAAGAAUCAUUUUUCCGGCCAUCGAUUUCUGUCAAUAAAAAAUAUGAAACUAUGCGAAAAGAAAUUAUCAACUGUUGGUCGGAGAUUUACUAUCACUUCACUGUAGAUCGAUCGGUACGUUUGGCAAAGAACACGUCCGCAUUUCUAUGAACUGCGUGUAUCAGACAGAGACAGACAAAUUCGGUAUUGAAUUCUCUUGUAUGAAUAUAUUCAUAAUACAUUAUUAUGUAUUUGUGUUCAAUGUGUUCAUAACUCAUCGUAUAAGUCACAAUACAGGUAUAGAUAAUUCGUAUAAUAAAACUAAUAUUAGCUAACGGUGUAUUAUUAAGGGUUCACCAAUAUGUUUUCCGACACAGGUAUCUUAUUUCUUGCGAUUGUCCACAGCCCAUAUUAAAUGUCUAUAAUGUUUAUUUCAAUGUCACUCAACGCUAUUACUUGAUAGUUGGCUAUAUUUUGUAUAUGAUAUUAUCGUCAGUGUAUGAUUACGGUGCUGUGUAAUGUCCACGAGAACACGUGUUUAAGUAAUUACUGCGCCACUAUACAAUGUCUACUAGAUCAACAGUGUAACAACAACAAUAAUAAUAUUUCCAAAAGUCGUCGCGAGAUGUCCCGGACAUUAUUUUAAGACUCGUCGAAUUGCUUAUUUUUUCACAACCAUACUUUCUGCCCUCUCAAAAAAAUUGUAUCAAUAGUUUUCUUAAGAGUUGGGAAAAACUAACAACCAAAAAAACCAGAAAAACUGAAAUAUUUACGCAAAAUCGUGGUUUUUUGACAGCGUAUUGUUUUAGAUUCUCGGCGCAGUGAUAAACGUAUUAAUUUUACAAAAAUAUGUGUUUUAUACUCUGUCUGUCGUCAACUGCUAAGACAGCAAAAAGAAUUCAAACUUUGAGAUUGUUUCUGGUAGCAAAUUAAAUCUAUUCGGGUACUUUCAGGGAAGUGAAGAUUAUAAAUUAAACGUAAAACUAGUAGGUGUUCAGUAAAAUCAAUUUGGCGUAACUCAAAAAAGAAAAUAACUAUAGUUACUUAACAUUUUUACUAAAUGUUUAAAUUCACAUUUUCUAUAUACCUAAUAUAAACUUUUCAAAAUAUUUUGACUCU